rnacentral:rRNA from 1 species
AGAGUUUGAUCCUGGCUCAGAGUGAACGCUGGCGGCAGGCCUAACACAUGCAAGUCGAACGGCAGCACAGGGGAGCUUGCUCCCUGGGUGGCGAGUGGCGGACGGGUGAGGAAUACGUCGGAAUCUGCCUUUUCGUGGGGGAUAACGUAGGGAAACUUACGCUAAUACCGCAUACGACCUACGGGUGAAAGCCGGGGACCUUCGGGCCUGGCACGGAAAGAUGAGCCGACGUCGGAUUAGCUAGUUGGCGGGGUAAAGGCCCACCAAGGCGACGAUCCGUAGCUGGUCUGAGAGGAUGAUCAGCCACACUGGAACUGAGACACGGUCCAGACUCCUACGGGAGGCAGCAGUGGGGAAUAUUGGACAAUGGGCGCAAGCCUGAUCCAGCCAUGCCGCGUGUGUGAAGAAGGCCUUCGGGUUGUAAAGCACUUUUGUACGGGAAGAAAAGCUUUCGGUUAAUACCCGGGAGUCAUGACGGUACCGUAAGAAUAAGCACCGGCUAACUUCGUGCCAGCAGCCGCGGUAAUACGAAGGGUGCAAGCGUUACUCGGAAUUACUGGGCGUAAAGCGUGCGUAGGUGGUUUGUUAAGUCUGAUGUGAAAGCCCUGGGCUCAACCUGGGAAUGGCAUUGGAUACUGGCAGUCUAGAGUGCGGUAGAGGGUAGUGGAAUUCCCGGUGUAGCAGUGAAAUGCGUAGAUAU